CCUGUAAGAGCUCCUGAUUGGUUUCCCAAACCAUCCAAAAUGAAGAAAACCAUAGCUGGCAUGGACAGAAACAAUUCAAGGAAGAGAUUCUCCUGGAAGUCACAGAGAUGGCGGUCUGUGCGGGCAGAACGCAGGGCAUGAAGAUCCAAGAGGGCCUGGCUUCAGGCUCUUCUCCAGGGCCAAGGCGGCUUCCACGGUCUCCUGGGUUUUACCCCACUCAUCCUUUGCUGGUUUCUGCACAUCUCGGAAGAACGUAUGACUGAGGCGCUGGUUCUGCAACUUGAGCAGGUCCCGAUGUCCACAUCCUUGGCUUUUAUCAAUGUAUGUUUUCAAGGAAAACACUUCAAAGGCAAGAAGCUCAGAAGGAGAGCACUGGUUCCUCCAGAUAAGGAUGACAAGCUACUGAAACCAGGCCCAGCAACAGCACCCUUCAGCAUCAGCAUCAGCAUCAGCACCAACACCCUGCAUCACUAGCACUAGCAUCCGCAUCCGCAUCAGCACCAGCACCAGCACCCUGCAUCACUAGCACCAGCACCAGCACCCGCCAGUACCAGUACCAUCAGCAUAACUG